CAGCAUCUAGUUAAGUUGCACAUUUGUUGAAGUGAUCCUGUAUGGCUAUACCUUAACAGGUUAUGGCCAACUCUGCGGAGAAAAUUAGACUUGCUGGAAAUCAAAAUGUGAUGGUCUGUGAGCGAGGCACCAUGUUUGGCUACAAUGAUCUAAUUGUUGAUCCAAGGAACUUUGAGUGGCUGAGGGAAGCAAAUUGCCCAGUUGUAGCUGAUGUAACACAUGCUCUACAACAACCAGCUGGGAAAAAGCUUGAUGGUGGCGGGGUUGCAAGUGGGGGCUUACAAGAACUC